UACGUAGGGUCCGAGCGUUGUCCGGAAUUAUUGGCGUAAAGGGCUCGUAGGCGGUCCGUCGCGUCGGGAGUGAAAACUACGGAGCUUAACUCCGAGCCUGCUUCCGAUCACGGGCAGACUAGAGGUAGGCAGGGGGGAGAGCGGAACUCCUGGUGUAGCGGUGGAAAUGCGCAGAUAUCAGGAAAGAACACCGGUGGCGCAAAGG
rnacentral:rRNA from 1 species